rnacentral:rRNA from 1 species
UACGUAGGGUGCAAGCGUUAAUCGGAAUUACUGGGCGUAAAGCGUGCGCAGGCGGUUUUGUAAGUCUGACGUGAAAUCCCCGGGCUCAACCUGGGAAUUGCGUUGGAGACUGCAAGGCUAGAAUCUGGCAGAGGGGGGUGAGAAUUCCACGUGUAGCAGUGAAAUGCGUAGAGAUGUGGAGGAACACCGAUGGCGAAGGCAGCCCCUGGGUCAAGAU